UGCGUAGGCGGGCAGGUAAGUCAGUGGUGAAAUCUCCGGGCUUAACUCGGAAACUGCCGUUGAUACUAUCUGUCUUGAAUACCGUGGAGGUGAGCGGAAUAUGUCAUGUAGCGGUGAAAUGCUUAGAUAUGACAUAGAACACCGAUUGCGAAGGCAGCUCGCUACACGGUAAUUGACGCUGAGGCACGAAAGCGUGGGGAUCAAACA
rnacentral:rRNA from 1 species